rnacentral:rRNA from 1 species
AUUGAACGCUGGCGGCGUGCUUAACACAUGCAAGUCGAACGGAUGAAAUAAGCUUGCUUAUUUCGUUAGUGGCGCACGGGUGAGUAAUGUAUAGCUAACCUGCCCUUUAGUGGGGGACAACAGUUGGAAACGACUGCUAAUACCCCAUACUCCUUCUUAUCUUAAGAUAAGUUGGGAAAGAUUUAUUGCUAAAGGAUGGGGGUUUAUGGUAUCAGCUAGUUGGUGGGGUAACGGCCUACUAAGGCGAUGACGCCUACCUGGUCUGAGAGGAUGAUCAGGCACACUGGAACUGAGACACGGUCCAGACUCCUACGGGAGGCAGCAGUGGGGAAUAUUGCACAAUGGAGGAAACUCUGAUGCAGCAACGCCGCGUGGAGGAUGACGCAUUUCGGUGUGUAAACCCCUUUUAUAAGGGAAGAUAAUGACGGUACCUUAUGAAUAAGCACCGGCUAACUCCGUGCCAGCAGCCGCCGUAA